rnacentral:rRNA from 1 species
AUUGAACGCUGGCGGCAGGCUUAACACAUGCAAGUCGAACGAUGAUUAUCUAGCUUGCUAGAUAUGAUUAGUGGCGGACGGGUGAGUAACAUUUAGGAAUCUGCCUAGUAGUGGGGGAUAGCUCGGGGAAACUCGAAUUAAUACCGCAUACGACCUACGGGUGAAAGGGGGCGCAAGCUCUUGCUAUUAGAUGAGCCUAAAUCAGAUUAGCUAGUUGGUAGGGUAAAGGCCCACCAAGGCGACGAUCUGUAACUGGUCUGAGAGGAUGAUCAGUCACACCGGAACUGAGACACGGUCCGGACUCCUACGGGAGGCAGCAGUGGGGAAUAUUGGACAAUGGGGGCAACCCUGAUCCAGCCAUGCCGCGUGUGUGAAGAAGGCCUUUUGGUUGUAAAGCACUUUAAGCAGGGAGGAGAGGCUAAUGGUUAAUACCCAUUAGAUUAGACGUUACCUGCAGAAUAAGCACCGGCUAACUCUGUGCCAGCAGCCGCGGUAAUACAGAGGGUGCGAGCGUUAAUCGGAAUUACUGGGCGUAAAGCGAGUGUAGGUCGCUCAUUAAGUCCCAUGGUAAAUUCCCCGGGCGUUAACCGGGGACCGGCCAUUGAUACCGGGUGUGGCUCGAAUAUUUGAGAGGGAAUUAGAAAUUCCAGGGGUAGCGGUGAAAUGCGUGGAGAUCUGGAGGGAAUACCGAGGGGGAGGCGGCUUCCUGGCAUAAUAUUGACACUGAGAUUCGAAAGCGUGGGUAGCAAACAGGCUUAGAUACCCUGGUAGUCCACGCGGUCAGCGAUGUCUACUAGCCGUUGGGGUCCUGGAGACUUUAGUGGCGCAGUUAACGCGAUAAGUAGACCGCCUGGGGAGUACGGCCGCAAGGUUAAAACCCAAAUGAAUUGACGGGGGCCCGCACAAGCGGUGGAGCAUGUGGUUUAAUUCGAUGCAACGCGAAGAACCUUACCUGGUCUUGACAUAGUGAGAAUCCUGCAGAGAUGCGGGAGUGCCUUCGGGAAUUCACAUACAGGUGCUGCAUGGCUGCCGUCAGCUCGUGUCGUGAGAUGUUGGGUUAAGUCCCGCAACGAGCGCAACCCUUUUCCUUAUUUGCCAGCGGGUUAAGCCGGGAACUUUAAGGAUACUGCCAGUGACAAACUGGAGGAAGGCGGGGACGACGUCAAGUCAUCAUGGCCCUUACGACCAGGGCUACACACGUGCUACAAUGGUAGGUACAGAGGGUUGCUACACAGCGAUGUGAUGCUAAUCUCAAAAAGCCUAUCGUAGUCCGGAUUGGAGUCUGCAACUCGACUCCAUGAAGUCGGAAUCGCUAGUAGUCGCAGAUCAGAAUGCUGCGGUGAAUACGUUCCCGGGCCU